rnacentral:rRNA from 1 species
GUAAUCCGGGUUGCGGACAGUGUCUGGUGGGUAGUUUGACUGGGGCGGUCUCCUCCUAAAGAGUAACGGAGGAGCACGAAGGUUGGCUAAUCCUGGUCGGACAUCAGGAGGUUAGUGCAAUGGCAUAAGCCAGCUUGACUGCGAGCGUGACGGCGCGAGCAGGUGCGAAAGCAGGUCAUAGUGAUCCGGUGGUUCUGAAUGGAAGGGCCAUCGCUCAACGGAUAAAAGGUACUCCGGGGAUAACAGGCUGAUACCGCCCAAGAGUUCAUAUCGACGGCGGUGUUUGGCACCUCGAUGUCGGCUCAUCACAUCCUGGGGCUGAAGUAGGUCCCAAGGGUAUGGCUGUUCGCCAUUUAAAGUGGUACGCGAGCUGGGUUUAGAACGUCGUGAGACAGUUCGGUCCCUAUCUGCCGUGGGCGCUGGAGAACUGAGGGGGGCUGCUCCUAGUACGAGAGGACCGGAGUGGACGCAUCACUGGUGUUCGGGUUGUCAUGCCAAUGGCACUGCCCGGUAGCUAAAUGCGGAAGAGAUAAGUGCUGAAAGCAUCUAAGCACGAAACUUGCCCCGAGAUGAGUUCUCCCUGACUCCUUGAGAGUCCUGAAGGAACGUUGAAGACGACGACGUUGAUAGGCCGGGUGUGUAAGCGCAGCGAUGCGUUGAGCUAACCGGUACUAAUGAACCGUGAGG